rnacentral:piRNA from 1 species
UUUAAAUCUUUUAAAAAUUAU